rnacentral:lncRNA from 1 species
GCCAAGUUCAGGGAACACCUAUCCCAUUUCAGGUAUUUAAAGGGCAGGGAGCAGUGAAAAUCUCCUCUCUACCUCGAGCUCUACUCACAGACCACUGCAUGGGUGUUGAGGUUCUUGUAUUCCUGCUAGUGAUGACCCUCUACCACAGCCACCAAGUCUGCUCUGUCCAGAGCAUCAAGUGCCAGUGGUGACCACGCUCACAAUUCUUCACCCCACCAUAGCCAGAACAUUCUAGGGAGUUGCUGGCCUGUAUGAAGCUUGUUCCGUAAUCAUCUCAGAGCUCCCAAAAUAAAGAGUGAAGAUUCAAGAUGAAGUGGUUGCUAAAGAGGAGUCUACUCCAGUGUCUUCUCAUCAAGAGGAUGGAGCUAUCUAAUUGAUGCUUGGGUAGAGGGAUCUAGAACCUCUUCACUGCAACAAAGGUACUAGAUCUAUGCUGCUGUUGAUGG